AUUGAACGCUGGCGGCAGGCUUAACACAUGCAAGUCGAACGAGUGGCGGACGGGUGAGUAAUGCUUGGGAAUCUAGCUUAUGGAGGGGGAUAACUACGGGAAACUGUAGCUAAUACCGCGUACCAUAGGAUGAGCCCAAGUGGGAUUAGGUAGUUGGUGAGGUAAAGGCUCACCAAGGCGACGAUAUCUACCUGGUCUGAGAGGAUGACCAGCCACACUGGGACUGAGACACGGCCCCGACGCCUACGGGAGGCAGCAGUGGGGAAUAUUGCGCAAGGGGGGCAACCUGACGCAGCCAUGCCGCGUGAAUGAUGACGGCCUUCGGGUUGUAAAGCGCUGUUAAUCGGGAGACGGGACCGGAAUAGAAAGCCACGGCUAACUACGUGCCAGCAGCCGCGGUAAUUC
rnacentral:rRNA from 1 species